rnacentral:rRNA from 1 species
UGGGGAAUUUUGGACAAUGGGCGAAAGCCUGAUCCAGCAAUGCCGCGUGUGUGAAGAAGGCCUUCGGGUUGUAAAGCACUUUUGUCCGGAAAGAAAUCCUUGGCUCUAAUACAGUCGGGGGAUGACGGUACCGGAAGAAUAAGCACCGGCUAACUACGUGCCAGCAGCCGCGGUAAUACGUAGGGUGCAAGCGUUAAUCGGAAUUACUGGGCGUAAAGCGUGCGCAGGCGGUUUGCUAAGACCGAUGUGAAAUCCCCGGGCUCAACCUGGGAACUGCAUUGGUGACUGGCAGGCUAGAGUAUGGCAGAGGGGGGUAGAAUUCCACGUGUAGCAGUGAAAUGCGUAGAGAUGUGGAGGAGUACCGAUGGCGAAGGCAGCCCCCUGGGCCAAUACUGACGCUCAUGCACGAAAGCGUGGGGAGCAAACAGGAUUAGAUACCCUGGUAGUCCACGCCCUAAACGAUGUCAACUAGUUGUUGGGGAUUCAUUUCCUUAGUAACGUAGCUAACGCGUGAAGUUGACCGCCUGGGGAGUACGGUCGCAAGAUUAAAACUCAAAGGAAUUGACGGGGUCAUAGCUGUUUCCU